rnacentral:lncRNA from 1 species
CGCAAUCUCCAGCUUCAUCCGUGCGAAAAUAGGGGAGAAGGAAUGAUCCCACGCAUCCGCCACAUUGAUCCCAAGCACCCGUUCGAACGCAUCCGCUCGUGAUGCAGCAACAGCCCCUCUUUGGCUCUUCCGUGAUCCCAGCGCCUCACAGCCAUCUCCCCCUUCCGGAUUCAAGACCCCCCCUCCUCCGCCCCAGCCCGCGCCUCCUUCCUUCCGCCUGUCGAUCCCACGGCAUCAGCCUCCUUCUCGGAAUCACAGCAGCCUCCUCCGCCUCAGCCCGCGUCUCCUUCCGUCCGUGAUCAAGGAACCACAGCCAACGUCCUUCCCAAAUCAGCAUCCACCGCGUCCUCCUCCUUCGCGUUGUAGCAGCAUCCCCUUCCGGCCACAGCAGCAGAUUAGCAGGGGAUUUUUUUCAGCUCAUCUUCUUCCGCUCAACCCAACACAUCCAGCCAUCCGUCCGCGCGCCCAGCUCCUUCCAUUUUCGCAUCCAAGCAAAAUCCCAGCCUCCACCGCGUCCGUGGUCAAUCUCCUCCAUGAUCCGCCCAGCCACGGCAUCCUCGCAUCCGGAUCAGCGCCUCCAUCCCGUGAUCCAAGCCCUUCCGUGGAUCCCGCACCACCCUUCCAGCAUCCCGGAUGACAUGCAUUCCUCCCCUAAUUUUAGCACCCCGU